rnacentral:lncRNA from 1 species
UUUUUCUUUCUUCCUUUUUUUUUUUUUUUUGCACUAUGUCUUCUAUAUUGCUUCCUACACUUCCUCUUGUAGGGGAAGUAUGCCCAGUUUCAAGUUUUAUUCAUAGAAAAUUGAUAAAGGAUGGUAGUUUUCUCUGCAUUAUCCCGUCCAGCAAUGAUAAUUUUGUGCUUCUGGUCAUUGAACAGCUUCCAUAUCCUGGUGUAGAGAAUUCCCAUUCUGGGGCAGCAUACUCCCCUCCAGCCACCUGGGUCAUCUGGCCUUCCCCAGUCCAAGUUUGAAAGGGACCAUCCUUUUUCAGUGGUCGUUGGCCCUGUAUUUGGGGGAUUGUUGCUGUUCCAUUAGAAAAUGUGGCGGAAAUCCCCAGGAUGGGAGUACAGUAUUCUUUCGUGUGCAUCUCUACCCACUGUGGUAAUCCCCUUGGAGUAAUGAAAUAAAUCUAAAA